rnacentral:lncRNA from 1 species
CAUGACAUUCCAUGAAUCAAUGUAUUUUGUGUUAAUGGGAUUUCAAAUUUUGAUGAUAACUUAGGGGGAGGCCUUGGUUCAAACACAGUCACACAAUUUUAAAGAACUUUAUGAUAUAAUCUUAUCGGGAUUAGAUCCAAGGAUUCCAUCAUUCCAUUAGGCUUUCUUGAGCUUUUACAGGAGAUCGGGCAUGUAAUCUGUCGUAUAUAUAAAUUAAUCUACACUUUUGUCAAAAAGACACAAUAAUGGUAUGAUAUAUCAGAGAUGUGGUGAGAAAGCUUUCAGGAAAAUAACAUAAUAAACAUUGUAUAUUUGUUAGAAAUACGUGUUCUUAUCUUUAGCUAGCUUUUUGUUCUUUUUCUACACUUACGAUAUAAUUUCAUCCCUUAUAUAUUAAAAAGAAAACAUUUUUAGAGAAUAACUUUAAAUUUGUGUAUUAUUUACAAUUAUACCAUUAUGAUAAUGUGUUAACACCAUAAUCCUA